rnacentral:rRNA from 1 species
CGGAGGAACAUGUGGUUUAAUUCGAUGAUACGCGAGGAACCUUACCUGGGCUUAAAGUGGGAGUGACAGCUGGCGAAAGUUGGGUUUUUCUUCGGACACUCUUCAAGGUGCUGCAUGGUUGUCGUCAGCUCGUGCCGUGAGGUGUCGGGUUAAGUCCCAUAACGAGCGCAACCCUUACUGUUAGUUGCCAGCGGGUCAAGCCGGGAACUCUAACGGGACUGCCACCGUAAGGUGAGAGGAAGGUGGGGAUGACGUCAAAUCAGCACGGCCCUUAUGUCCAGGGCUACACACGUGUUACAAUGGUCGGUACAAAGGGCAGCUACACCGCGAGGUGAUGCUAAUCUCUAAAGCCGGUCUCAGUUCGGAUCGAAGUCUGCAACCCGACUUCGUGAAGUUGGAUUCGCUAGUAAUCGCGCAUCAGCCAUGGCGCGGUGAAUACGUUCCCGGGCCUU